ensembl:snRNA U6 U6 spliceosomal RNA
GUGCUUGCUUCCGCAGCACACUAAAAUUGGAACAAUAUGUAGAAGAUUAGCAUGGCCUUUUUGACAAGCAAAUUCAUGUUUCAUAUUUUA